rnacentral:rRNA from 1 species
UAGGGAAUUUUCCACAAUGGGCGAAAGCCUGAUGGAGCAACGCCGCGUGCAGGAUGAAUGCCUUAGGGUUGUAAACUGCUUUUAUAUGUGACGAAUAUGACGGUAGCAUAUGAAUAAGGAUCGGCUAACUCCGUG